rnacentral:rRNA from 1 species
AGAGUUUGAUUAUGGCUCAGGAUGAACGCUAGCUACAGGCUUAACACAUGCAAGUCGAGCGGAACUGCUUCGGCAGUUUAGCGGCAGACGGGUGAGUAACACGUAUCCAACCUUCCCCUUACUCGGGUAUAGCCUCGGGAAACUGAGAGUAAUCCCCGAUGUGGUGUACGCUUCGCAUGUAAUGCACACCAAAGAUUAAUCGGUAAGGGAUGGGGAUGCGUUCCAUUAGCUAGUAGGCGGGGUAACGGCCCACCUAGGCGAUGAUGGAUAGGGGUUCUGAGAGGAAGGUCCCCCACAUUGGAACUGCGACACGGUCCAAACUCCUACGGGAGGCAGCAGUGAGGAAUAUUGGUCAAUGGCCGAGAGGCUGAACCAGCCAAGUAGCGUGCAGGAUGACGGCCCUACGGGUUGUAAACUGCUUUUGUGCGGGAAUAAAGUGCGCCACGUGUGGCGUUUUGUAGGUACCGCAUGAAUAAGGACCGGCUAAUUCCGUGCCAGCCGCAGC